rnacentral:lncRNA from 1 species
CUUGGGGAAAGUGGGAAGUUGCAAUUAGAAGGUUUGAAAAAAUUUCAUAAUAGAAUAAUUUCUGCAUGACAAAGGGGAGACUUUUAGUGUUAGAAUGAAAGGUCAUUUAAGCUAUAUUUCUGAUCCAUAUGACUGAGGGGAAAAGCUGAAGAAGAUUCAUUUGGAUAACAAACAAAGAAAAGAUUGACCCCAAAUCAUCUUUAUUCUGAGCUUUGUUCAUUUAGACAUGACAGCACCUGACAACUGGAUGAGCAAAUCGAUUUUCCAUUGCUGAAGUCAUCAAAGUUCAGUGUUAAUAAAAAAAAGGCAAGACAACUGGUGAUGGCUUGAGAUGCAGUGGAUGGGACUUGAGAUGCAGUUAUGGCUUGAAAUGCAGUCAAUGUCUGACCAAAAUCUAAGCAUUCCACAGUGCCUACGUUGGCCACCUUCAUGACCAUUGAAACAAAUUGUUCUUCUCUACACAUUCCUCCAGAAGUCUUCACAUGCUUGGAGAGUCAACACCCCCCCCCCCCAAUUCACUGGUAUUCAAGGAAAUGAUGCCUAUUGGAUAGAAGACAGCCUUUAUUUCA